AACGAACGCUGGCGGCAUGCCUAACACAUGCAAGUCGAACGAGACCUCCGGGUCUAGUUGCGCACGGGUGCGUAACGCGGGGGAACCUGCCCUUAGGUUCGGAAUAACUCCCCGAAAGGGGUCCUAAUACCGGUGAAUGUCUUCGGACCUAAGAUCUAUCGCCUUUGGAUGGGCGCGCGUUGGAUUAGCGAGUUGGUAGUGUAACAGCGUGCCAAGGCGACGUUCCUUAGCUGGUCUGUGAAGAUGAUCAACCACACUGGGAAUGAGACACGGCCCAGACUCGUACGGGAGGCAGCAGUGGGGAAUAUAAGAGAAUGGACGAAAGCCUGAUCCAGCAGUGCCGCGGAAGUGAUGAAGGCCUUAGUGUUGUAAAGCUCUUUUAGCCGGGGUGUUAGUGACGGUACCGGGUGAAGAAGCACCGGCUAACUACGUG
rnacentral:rRNA from 1 species